AUUGAACGCUGGCGGCAGGCCUAACACAUGCAAGUCGAGCGGAGCGGCGGACGGGUGAGUAAUGCCUAGGAAUCUGCCUGGUAGUGGGGGAUAACGUCCGGAAACGGGCGCUAAUACCGCAUCCUAUCAGAUGAGCCUAGGUCGUAUUAGCUAUUUGGUGGGGUAAAGGCCUACCAAGGCGACGAUCCAUAACUGAUCUGAGAGGAUGAUCAGUCACACUGGAACUGAUACACGGCCCAGACUCCUACGGGAGGCAGCAGUGGGGAAUAUUGGACAAUGGGCGAAAGCCUGAUCCAGCCAUGCCGCGUGUGUGAAGAAGGUCUUCGGAUUGUAAAGCACUUUAAGUUGGGAGGCGUUACCAGCAGAGUAAGCACCGGCUAACUUCGUGCCAGCAGCCGCGGUAAUUC
rnacentral:rRNA from 1 species